GCCCCCUUCCCCCGCCUGGCCACUCAGCUCCAUUCUCCCGCCUUCCCUCAGGCCCUACCCAGCCCCCUUCCCCCGCCUGGCCACUCAGCUCCAUUCUCCCGCCUUCCCUCAGGCCCUGCCCAGCCCCCUUCCCCCGCCUGGCCACUCAGCUCCAUUCUCCCGCCUUCCUUCAGGCCCUGCCCAGCCCCCUUCCCCCGCCUGGCCACUCAGCUCCAUUCUCCCGCCUUCCCUCAGGCCCUGCCCAGCCCCCUUCCCCCGCCUGGCCACUCAGCUCCAUUCUCCCGCCUUCCCUCAGGCCCUGCCCAGCCCCCUUCCCCCGCCUGGCCACUCAGCUCCAUUCUCCCGCCUUCCCUCAGGCCCUGCCCAGCCCCCUUCCCCCGCCUGGCCACUCAGCUCCCUUCUCCCGCCUUCCCUCAGGCCCUGUCCAGCUCAGCCCCCUUCUCCCCGCUGCCCACUUGGCCAGUCUAUCCCCCGGUCAGCUGCCUCUGGCCGAAGCCAUUCCCACCCAGUUACUGGCGUUAGUCACUCCACGCUGAGACCACCCUGUGGGGCGCUGUGCUCAUGGUGCCCCGUGGUUGCGCUCGGAGCGGGAAGGCCAGGUGCUGCCCGAUGUAAAAGCCCAUCAGUUCAUUGUGAAAUCACAGAAUAAAUUUCUGAUACAAAUGGUGCCAUGAACAGGGAGAAAGAAGGAAGACAACAAGUUGGGGGCACUUUCAGAAUGGCUGUUGUAGAGGAUAACGAGUCUGGAUCAUAAUGGCAAUUAAGAUGUCAACAACUCUUUCAGUGCUGAUAACUUUAGCAUAAACAUCUAGAGAAUGUUCCUGUUCCACAACCACAAACUAGCUUCCAUGCCUCCUCAGAUGUGUAAACCAAGCUGCCAAAACAUCCAACUUCUAGCAAUGUGCUGCAUUAUCAAUAUAUAACUGCGCAGCACACUGAAGACUGCACAAUGUAAAAUAAAGUUUAAUAUAAAGAUGAUGACAACCAGUACAGCAGCAUCUUCAUGUUCACAUUUUUUUUGGCACAUAAAACCUGCAAUGCUGGAACAGACCAGUGGUCCCUGUCUCUACAGUGGUCAUUUCUGAGUACUUCAGAAGAAGAUGCAAGAAACUGAAGAAGGCAGUUUUGAAAAACUUGUCCACAAUAGUAUAAGUCGUCAUUCCUGUAAAAUCUCUUUUUUUAAAAUGAAUGGAGCUGCCACUGAAUUUCCGGUCUGUUGAAGCAGAAUGUCACAAAAUUCAGAGACAUUGCAGCAGACUGGACUUACAGCCUGCGUCCAAGUACCUGAGGCUUUGAUUUAUACAUGACAAAGAUGAAGAAUCAUCACACUUGCUACUCAACUGUAAAAAAUUGACACCAUAAUUUUUUUCUCUAAAAUAAUUCUUUAUUGUGCUGAUCAACAUUUUCCUUCUCAUUUUGAGGUUAGAAAGCUGGUAUAGGAAGAAGUAAUUUCUUUCAAAUUAAUAUUACUGAAUCAUGCCACAAAAGCUCAAAACAAAAGCUGCAUUAAUUAUUCCAAAGCAACCAGGAACCCUUGGUGUUUAUUUAAUUUAACAGUAUAAAAAACAAUAGAAAAGGUUACAUAUGAUUUUGAAAAGGUAAUAUUUUAAUAACUAUAUUUCAUUUCUGGGAUAGGAUAAUCAUAAAAAUGAUGGUAUAAUGCUUUAAAAAUUAAAGUCUGUACACAACCAUUAUUAAAAAAAGCAACAGUUAUGGA